rnacentral:lncRNA from 1 species
CACACAUAUACAUUAAAAUUACAUAUUUUAAUCAAAUUAAAAUAAAUAACGACCUUAGAUUAUCAUAAAGCACAUGAAUGACAUGGAGAAAUGAAAAGCCUAUUUUCAAAGAAGAAAUCACACAGUAUCAGAAUUCUAAAUAAUCCCUACAAAUCUGUCACUCAAGUAAGAAACAUUAGAGUAGAUUGCUUACAAAUGUAAAACAAGGUGAGGAUGUUCCAAAAUUUUCCAAGUAUCCAAAGAACCCAUAAGCCAGCAAUAACCUACAAGUAAUUCUUACAUCAAAAUAUGAAAGAGAUGAUACUAAGAUAAAAUGUAAGUUUUGACAUAUGUAUUUUAGUAUACUUUUUUAAUAUACAAGAUAUAAUUUUUUGACGAGACCAUUCAUUUGGAAAGGAUCAGCUGAUUAAACUACAUCCUACCUAGGAACCUUUCUUUC